rnacentral:rRNA from 1 species
CGCAGCCGCGGUAAUUCCAGCUCCAAUAGCGUAUAUUAAAGUUGUUGCAGUUAAAAAGCUCGUAGUUGAAUUUCGGGGUCAGUAGAUUGGUCGUGCCACUGGUAUGUACUGGUCUUACUGGCUCCUCCUUCCUGAUGAACCGUAAUGCCAUUAAUUUGGUGUUGCGGGGAGACUGGACUGUUACUUUGAAAAAAUUAGAGUGUUUAAAGCAGGCUAACGCUUGAAUACAUUAGCAUGGAAUAAUGAAAUAGGACGUUCGAUCUUAUUUUGUUGGUUUCUAGGAUUGACGUAAUGAUUAAUAGGGAUAGUUGGGGGCAUUAGUAUUCAAUUGUCAGAGGUGAAAUUCUUGGAUUUAUUGAAGACUAACUACUGCGAAAGCAUUUGCCAAGGAUGUUUUCAUUAAUCAAGAACGAAAGUUAGGGGAUCGAAGACGAUCAGAUACCGUCGUAGUCUUAACCAUAAACUAUGCCGACUAGGGAUCGGAUGAUGUUAAUUUUUUAAUGACUCAUUCGGCGCCUUACG